AACGUAGGUGGCAAGCGUUAUCCGGAUUUACUGGGCGUAAAGCGUGUGCAGGCGGGGGGUACAAGUGGUGUAUGAAAUUUCCCAGCUUAACUGGGAAGGGUUAUGCCAGACUGUACUUCUGGAGUGCGAGAGAGGGGCGUGGAAUUCCGGGUGGUAGUGGGUGAAAUGCGCAGAUAUCAGGAGGAACACCGGUGGCGAAGGCGGUUCUCUGGGCAUUGACCUGACGCUGAGGAGCGAAGUG
rnacentral:rRNA from 1 species